GACGAACGCUGGCGGCGUGCCUAAUACAUGCAAGUAGAACGCAGUUGCGAACGGGUGAGUAACGCGUAGGUAACUGCCUGGUAGCGGGGGAUAACUGUCCGAAAGGACAGCUAAUACCGCAUAUUAUUCGAGCGGCCGAUGUCUGAUUAGCUGGUUGGCGGGGUAAAGGCCCACCAAGGGGACGAUCAGUAGCGGGUCUGAGAGGAUGAUCAGCCACAAUGGGACUGAGACACGGCCCAGACUCCUACGGGAGGCAGCAGUAGGGAAUCUUCGGCAAUGGACGGAAGUCUGACCGAGCAACGCCGCGUGAGUGAAGAAGGUUUUCGGAUCGUAAAGCUCUGUUGUAAGAGAAGCGGUAUCUUACCAGAAAGGGACGGCUAACUACGUGCCAGCAGCCGCGGUAAUAC
rnacentral:rRNA from 1 species